CUCUUGAUGAGUUAAUAAAACAAAGUGUAACAAACUGCAGGUCCCCUGGUUUUGACAGACUGCUAUUAAAAUAUUUAGAUUUUAGUCCCAGCUCUGCCCUCUGUCACUGAGAGACCUUUUUCAAGUCACAAAACCUCUGUGUCCCUCCGCUCACCACCAACAAUUGGAAGAUUCUAACAUCCUAGGAUUCUAGGGCCAAUCCAAAGGAAACCAUGCCCACAAAGAAAGGUGUUUCCAAUUAUUCAACUGGCCAAAUAGUCAAUCACCGGAUAAUCUUCUUUGGGGAGAAAUCUUCAUAGAAAUCUUUGAAAAACAUCUGGCCUAGAGGACAGUGUUAAUGACUCUUUUAUGUUUUAAUGUACCAGAUCUCCUUUUCCAUUUGCUACACUGCAGAGAAGACUAAUGCCACAGAAGCCUCCCCAGUGACUCUCCAAGUAAGAGCAAUGAAUAUGGCCUCUUCUGGCUUGAAAGCUGAAACUGGAACUGUUUUGUCUGCAAUGGAGUGACCUGUGGAAAUGUGGAUCCAUCUGUUGGAAAGACAGCACUCUUUAAAAUGUGAAGGUUUUAUAAGCUAAGAUGAUGAAGGAGACCCUGGUCAAAAUCAACUGAUGAAUCUCCAAGAGUCAAAAGAGCAAGAAGUGCUUGAAUAUUGGGUAUUUACAGUUCUCCCCCUAAGAACUAACAGUCUCCACACCUGGGAAAAAACUUGGACCAAACUAUGAAUGUACGUGUCUACAGUGUUCAAACCACCCAAGGCACUUUUCACUGGCUAGCAUAUUUUGCCACCUAAUAAAAUCAGGUACUCGGAAGUUCCA